GGAUGUUGUCUGUUCUAGAGGAUGUGUGGAUAAAAAAGCCAGCAUCAUUAGGAAAUGUGAUAUUGCACCUCUUAAAGAACAUAUUAAAGUAAACAGUACAUGUAUAGCUUAACUAGAGAUCCCAUGCUUUUGUGUCUUCCACUACUAUUGGAGAAUUUUCAAUGUGGGAUAAUAUUUGAUUAAUUGAAUUGCAAAACAUUUUAUUUCCUUUCUGGUUUAUUAAUGGUG
rnacentral:lncRNA from 1 species